rnacentral:rRNA from 1 species
UACGGAGGGUGCGAGCGUUGUUCGGAAUCACUGGGCGUAAAGCGCGCGUAGGCGGCUUUUCAAGUCAGAGGUGAAAUGCCAGGGCUCAACCCUGGAACUGCCUUUGAAACUGUUAAGCUAGAGACUCGGAGGGGAUAGCGGAAUUGCUAAUGUAGCGGUGAAAUGCGUAGAUAUUAGCAGGAACACCGGUGGCGAAGGCGGCUAUCUGGACGAGUACUGACGCUGAUGCGCGAAAGCGUGGGGAUCAAACAGG